rnacentral:rRNA from 1 species
GACAGAGGGUGCGAACGUUGCUCGGAAUUACUGGGCGUAAAGCGCGUGCAGGCGGCCGCGCACGUCCGGGGUGAAAGCCCGGGGCUCAACCCCGGAAGCGCCUCGGAGACGACGCGGCUGGAGUGCUGGAGAGGAGGGCGGAAUUCCCGGUGUAGAGGUGAAAUUCGUAGAUAUCGGGAGGAACACCAGUGGCGAAGGCGGCCCUCUGGACAGCGACUGACGCUGAGACGCGAAAGCGUGGGUAGCAAACAGG